AUUGAACGCUGGCGGCAUGCCUUACACAUGCAAGUCGAACGGCAGCACGGGUGCUUGCACCUGGUGGCGAGUGGCGAACGGGUGAGUAAUACAUCGGAACAUGUCCUGUAGUGGGGGAUAGCCCGGCGAAAGCCGGAUUAAUACCGCAUACGAUCUACGGAUGAAAGCGGGGGACCUUCGGGCCUCGCGCUAUAGGGUUGGCCGAUGGCUGAUUAGCUAGUUGGUGGGGUAAAGGCCUACCAAGGCGACGAUCAGUAGCUGGUCUGAGAGGACGACCAGCCACACAGGGACUGAGACACGGCCCAGACUCCUACGGGAGGCAGCAGUGGGGAAUUUUGGACAAUGGGCGAAAGCCUGAUCCAGCAAUGCCGCGUGUGUGAAGAAGGCCUUCGGGUUGUAAAGCACUUUUGUCCGGAAAGAAAUCCUUGGCUCUAAUACAGUCGGGGGAUGACGGUACCGGAAGAAUAAGCACCGGCUAACUACGUG
rnacentral:rRNA from 1 species